AACGAACGCUGGCGGCAUGCCUAACACAUGCAAGUCGAACGAGACCUUCGGGCCUAGUGGCGCACGGGUGCGUAACGCGUGGGAAUCUGCCCUUGGGUUCGGAAUAACAGUUGGAAACGACUGCUAAUACCGGAUGAUGACGUAAGUCCAAAGAUUUAUCGCCCAGGGAUGAGCCCGCGUAGGAUUAGCUAGUUGGUGGGGUAAAGGCCUACCAAGGCGACGAUCCUUAGCUGGUCUGAGAGGAUGAUCAGCCACACUGGGACUGAGACACGGCCCAGACUCCUACGGGAGGCAGCAGUGGGGAAUAUUGGACAAUGGGCGAAAGCCCGAUACAGCAAUGCCGCGUGAGUGAUGAAGGCCUUAGGGUUGUAAAGCUCUUUUACCCGGGAUGAUAAUGACAGUACCGGGAGAAUAAGCCCCGGCUAACUCCGUG
rnacentral:rRNA from 1 species